CACGUAGGGUGCGAGCGUUGUCCGGAAUUAUUGGGCGUAAAGAGCUCGUAGGCGGUUUGUUGCGUCGGCCGUGAAAACCUGCAGCUUAACUGUGGGCCUGCGGCCGAUACGGGCAGACUUGAGUUCGGUAGGGGAGACUGGAAUUCCCGGUGUAGCGGUGAAAUGCGCAGAUAUCGGGAAGAACACCCGUGGCGAAGGCGGUUCUCUGGGACGGUACUGACGCUGAGACGCGAAAGCGUGGGGAGCGAACAGG
rnacentral:rRNA from 1 species